UUUAGAGUUUGGAUUUCAUGGCUCAGGACGAACGCUGGCGGCGUGCCUAAUACAUGCAAGUCGAGCGGACAGAUGGGAGCUUGCUCCCUGAUGUUAGCGGCGGACGGGUGAGUAACACGUGGGUAACCUGCCUGUAAGACUGGGAUAACUCCGGGAAACCGGGGCUAAUACCGGAUGGUUGUUUGAACCGCAUGGUUCAAACAUAAAAGGUGGCUUCGGCUACCACUUACAGAUGGACCCGCGGCGCAUUAGCUAGUUGGUGAGGUAAUGGCUCACCAAGGCAACGAUGCGUAGCCGACCUGAGAGGGUGAUCGGCCACACUGGGACUGAGACACGGCCCAGACUCCUACGGGAGGCAGCAGUAGGGAAUCUUCCGCAAUGGACGAAAGUCUGACGGAGCAACGCCGCGUGAGUGAUGAAGGUUUUCGGAUCGUAAAGCUCUGUUGUUAGGGAAGAACAAGUACCGUUCGAAUAGGGCGGUACCUUGACGGUACCUAACCAGAAAGCCACGGCUAACUACGUGCCAGCAGCCGCGGUAAUACGUAGGUGGCAAGCGUUGUCCGGAAUUAUUGGGCGUAAAGGGCUCGCAGGCGGUUUCUUAAGUCUGAUGUGAAAGCCCCCGGCUCAACCGGGGAGGGUCAUUGGAAACUGGGGAACUUGAGUGCAGAAGAGGAGAGUGGAAUUCCACGUGUAGCGGUGAAAUGCGUAGAGAUGUGGAGGAACACCAGUGGCGAAGGCGACUCUCUGGUCUGUAACUGACGCUGAGGAGCGAAAG
rnacentral:rRNA from 1 species